UCUCUUUAAUCUUUCGCAAUGGCCGAAAGGCUGACGGAGCAAUACCGCGUGAAGGAAGACAAAAAACGAACGUAAACUUCUUUUAUUAAGGAUGAAUUCGAGACGUUACUUAAUGAAUAAGCAACUGCUAACUUCGUGCCAGCAGCAGCGGUAAUACGAAGGUUGCAAGCGUUAUCCGGAAUCAUUGGGCGUAAAGCGUCUGUAGGUUGUUUAUCAAGUUUCAAAUUAAACUCUAGGCUCAACCUAGAGGUUGUUUGAAAAACUGAUAAGCUAGAGGAUGGGAGAGGUAAGCGGAAUGGUUGGUGUAGUAGUAAUAUGCAUUGAUAUCAGCUAGAACACCAAAUGCGAAGGCAGCUUACUGGAACAUAUCUGACACUGAGAGACGAAAGUGUGUGUAGCGAAUGGGAUUAGAUACCCCAGUAGUCCACGCCCUAAACGAUGGGUACUAAUUAUUGGCAGUAUCGAUCCUGCCAGUGUUGUUUAGCUAAGUUAACACCUUAAGUA
rnacentral:rRNA from 1 species